UUAUGAUACAAAAGGAUAUUUUCUCUGAAUUAAAAAAAAUUCGAACAAAAUAGUCCAGUCCAAUUCCUUAAACCACAAAGGAUUUAUAAAAAAUAUUUUUCAUUUCCUUUUUCCAAUAUACAUACCCAAACAAUCUCAUUACUUAUUGAAUGACCUAAUAUCCCCCAGGAAAAGUUCCGGAAACCAACCGAAACAACCAACAGUGGCGUCGAUCGAUAUUCUGUUCAGAUAAAAUUGACAAACAAUUGUCACUUUCAGCGUGAUCCUCAGUGACCAGAGUCACCGAUGAAUAAUAUCGAGAAAAACACGCGCACAGUCUCUCUAUUCUCUAAAGAAUUCAAUAUCAUUGCAAUAUCCAAUAUCUAUGCCAAGGUCCAUUCUAAAUGGGAAUUAAAAAAAUUCAUCUUUCUUUUCUUUCUAUCCCUUAUGAUUUUCCAAUUCGAUUUCAAUUUCAACCUUAAUUUAAGAUCUAAAGAGAUGGUCUAAGGUUAAGACUUGUUACAUUAAUGUUAUAAAAUGGAUAAACUGGCCAAAAUAAUUCACAGAUGUCGAUGAACGCGAACUAUGAAUUGUGUGUCGACACUAAACUAUGUAUUGUGUGUUUUAGGGAAACGUGACCGCGAUAGAUGAGAAGCAGGGUGAAACGUUGAUCCCGCGCUGGUGGACUAGAAGGUACUGCACCAAACACGCGGACCGAUAUAGCCCUCAGACAGGUAGAUCAAUAUAGUAGCUACGGCAUGCCUAACACGCAGGAUCUCUUGCCAGUGAACGCGUGACUCUCGGCCCGCGGUGAUUGAGGGUGAACCUAGCCGAAUUUCAUCUCAAAUUGAAAAUAACAAGAGCUAACUUGGUUUGAAACAAGGAAUACUUUCGAAUAAAGAUGAAACGUCGAUCUCAAAUCCCACGAUGCUUUCUUCUUCCAAAUUCCAAUCACGAGUAAGACCAAUUCUCACUAUCGGGACAGGACAGGGGACAAAAUGUACCUGCCAAACGGCUCUGCCCUGCCCUAUCCUGACCCAAUAAUGCGAACCGGGCAUGAUCCAGCUAUCAGAUUGUAAUUGAUUGGUUGAGAUGAAUGGAUGAUUUGCUGAUCUCCGACCGAUGAUAU